rnacentral:lncRNA from 1 species
AGAAACAGGGCAGCACAGGGAGAGCCGGAGGUGCAGGAGUCACAGGGGGUUGCCAACUCUGGUCUUGCCGAUCUCAUCAUUCCCCAGCUUGUGGUUUCAAGAAGCCAGGCGCACACACACGAGUGAGCAGCUGCAACAGAGCCUGCACAGACUCCAGCCGCCCUGCACCAGCAUCCUGCCUCGAUUCUCCUUCACAGCUUUCUUGCUCCCUGAGUAUCCCAUUGGCAUGAGGCAUAGAAGGGAAAGAAAUGUGCACUCACACUGUUGUAACCCCUCGCUGACCCCCAUCAGAAGGAAAGGCCGAACACAGAAGCCAGCCUCUGGUCUGAAGAGACAAAUGCAGACACCCUCUCCUGGAAGAUACCGUGCUAAAAUAUUCCCUUUCCCUAUUGCAUCUCCAUUAAACUUUGCUGAAGGUGAUGCUGAGAUAAGUUGGGCCCAGAAAAAUCAAUGGGUGCAAAUUCAUAAGAAAUAAAC